rfam:Calypte anna contig29844, whole genome shotgun sequence.
UGUGUGAUGAUCGAAAAUUUCUUCACUUUGACCUGACUUGUCUGCUUGAAGAAAUGCACAUAUCUGACA